CGCCAGACUCCUACGGGAGGCAGCAGUGGGGAAUAUUGCACAAUGGGGGAAACCCUGAUGCAGCGACGCCGCGUGAGCGAUGAAGUAUUUCGGUAUGCAAAGCUCUAUCAGCAGGGAAGAAAAUGACGGUACCUGACUAAGAAGCCCCGGCUAACUACGUGCCAGCAGCCGCGGUAAUACGUAGGGGGCAAGCGUUAUCCGGAUUUACUGGGUGUAAAGGGAGCGUAGACGGCAAUGCAAGCCAGAUGUGAAAGCCCGGGGCUCAACCCCGGGACUGCAUUUGGAACUGUGUAGCUGGAGUGUCGGAGAGGCAGGCGGAAUUCCUAGUGUAGCGGUGAAAUGCGUAGAUAUUAGGAGGAACACCAGUGGCGAAGGCGGCCUGCUGGACGAUGACUGACGUUGAGGCUCGAAAGCGUGGGGAGCAAACAGGAUUAGAUACCCCAGUAC
rnacentral:rRNA from 1 species